UGUAUAUUGUGUGGUGCUUGAGCUUACGA
rnacentral:sRNA from 1 species